rnacentral:rRNA from 1 species
UAACACAUGCAAGUCGAACGGUAACAGCAGAGCUUGCUCUGGCUGACGAGUGGCGGACGGGUGCGUAACGCGUGGGAAUCUACCUUUUAGUGGGGGAUAGCCCGGAGAAAUCCGGAUUAAUACCGCAUAAGCCCUACGGGGGAAAAGGGGCCUCUUCUUGAAAGCUCUUGCUAUUAGAUGAGCCCGCGUAAGAUUAGCUAGUUGGUGAGGUAAUGGCUCACCAAGGCAACGAUCUUUAGCUGGUCUGAGAGGAUGAUCAGCCACACUGGGACUGAGACACGGCCCAGACUCCUACGGGAGGCAGCAGUGGGGAAUAUUGGACAAUGGGCGAAAGCCUGAUGCAGCCAUACCGCGUGUGUGAAGAAGGCCUUAGGGUUGUAAAGCACUUUCAGUAGGGAGGAACAGGACGAGAUUAAUACUCUCGUCCACUGACGUUACCUACAGAAGAAGCACCGGCUAACUCCGUGCCAGCAGCCGCGGUAAUACGGAGGGUGCAAGCGUUAAUCGGAAUUACUGGGCGUAAAGCGUACGCAGGCGGUUGAAUAAGUUGGAUGUGAAAGCCCCGGGCUCAACCUGGGAACUGCAUUUGAAACUGGUUAACUAGAGUGUGGUAGAGGAGAGUGGAAUUUCAGGUGUAGCGGUGAAAUGCGUAGAGAUCUGAAGGAACACCAGUGGCGAAGGCGGCUCUCUGGACCAACACUGACGCUGAGGUGCGAAAGCGUGGGUAGCAAACGGGAUUAGAUACCCCGGUAGUCCACGCCGUAAACGAUGUCAACUAACUGUUUGGGCGGGUUUCCGCUUAGUGGUGCAGCUAACGCAAUAAGUUGACCGCCUGGGGAGUACGGCCGCAAGGCUAAAACUCAAAUGAAUUGACGGGGGCCCGCACAAGCGGUGGAGCAUGUGGUUUAACUCGAUGCAACGCGAAGAACCUUACCUACCCUUGACAUCCAGCGAAUCUGUUAGAGAUAGUAGAGUGCCUUCGGGAAUUCAGUGACAGCUGCUGCAUGGCGGUCGUCAGCUCGUGUCGUGAGAUGUUGGGUUAAGUCCCGAAACGAGCGCAACCCCUAUUGCUAGUUACCAGCACGUUAUGGUGGGGACUCUAGUGAGACUGCCUGCGCAAGCAGUGAGGAAGGUGGGGACGACGUCAAGUCAUCAUGGCCCUUAUGCCCAGGGCUGCACACGUGCUACAAUGGUAGGUACAAUGGGCUGCCACCUCGUGAGAGGGAGCGAAUCCACAAAGCCUAUCUCAGUUCGGAUUGGAGUCUGCAACUCGACUCCAUGAAGCCGGAAUCGCUAGUAAUCGCGUAUCAGCAACGACGCGGUGAAUACGUUCCCGGGCCUUGUACACACCGCCCGUCAAGCCAUGGAAGCUGGGGGCACCCGAAGUCCGUUACCCAACCCUCGGGAGGGAGCGGCCGAAGGUGAACUUAGUGACUGGGGCUAAGUCGUAACAAGGUAACC